rnacentral:rRNA from 1 species
UACGUAGGGGCCGAGCGUUGUCCGGAGUUAUUGGGCGUAAAGCGCGCGCAGGGCGGCUUGGCGCGCCCGACGUGAAAGCCCCCGGCUUAACCCGGGGAGAGUCGUCGGGGACGGCCGGGCUUGAGGGCGGGAGAGGGUGGUGGAAUUCCCGGUGUAGUGGUGAAAUGCGUAGAGAUCGGGAGGAACACCGGUGGCGAAGGCGGCUCACUGGCUCGUAUCUGACACUCAAGCGCGACAGCCGUGGG